ACGAAUCUACUUUCACAUCGCUGAUGGUGUAUAUGGCUCCACAUUCUUUGUUGCAACAGGCUUCUAUGGAUUACACGUUAUCAUUGGAUAACUACAGUCCUAAGGAAAGAAGACUCUUC